rnacentral:rRNA from 1 species
GUCCAGACUCCUACGGGAGGCAGCAGUGGGGAAUAUUGCACAAUGGGGGAAACCCUGAUGCAGCGACGCCGCGUGAGUGAAGAAGUAUUUCGGUAUGUAAAGCUCUAUCAGCAGGGAAGAAAAUGACGGUACCUGACUAAGAAGCCCCGGCUAACUACGUGCCAGCAGCCGCGGUAAUACGUAGGGGGCAAGCGUUAUCCGGAUUUACUGGGUGUAAAGGGAGCGUAGACGGCACGGCAAGUCAGAUGUGAAAGCCCGGGGCUCAACCCCGGGACUGCAUUUGAAACUGUCAGGCUGGAGUGCAGGAGAGGUAAGUGGAAUUCCUAGUGUAGCGGUGAAAUGCGCAGAUAUUAGGAGGAACACCAGUGGCGAAGGCGGCUUACUGGACUGUAACUGACGUUGAGGCUCGAAAGCGUGGGGAGCAAACAGGAUUAGAUACCCUGGUAU